UACGUAGGUGACCAGCGUUGUCCGGAUUUACUGGGCGUAAAGAGCGCGCAGGCGGUCGUUCAAGUCGAGUGUGAAAGCCCCCGGCUCAACUGGGGAGGGUCAUUCGAUACUGAUCGACUGGAAGGCAGGAGAGGGAAGCGGAAUUCCCGGUGUAGUGGUGAAAUGCGUAGAUAUCGGGAGGAACACCAGUGGCGAAGGCGGCUUCCUGGCCUGUUCUUGACGCUGAGGCGCGAAAGCGUAGGGG
rnacentral:rRNA from 1 species